GAUCGAUCCGGGGACUCCGGCGCCGUGAGGCAGCAACUCUACCGCUGCGCCACCGUUCCACACCAUCUAUGUCCUUUUCCCUCCCCUUGCCCAUCCCCAGCGCACAAAAAGACAUGGAUUGGAAACGUUUAGAGGGAUAUGGGCCAAAUGGGGCUUAAUCUGGCUCCAUGAAUCCAGAUACCUUUUAGAUAAUAAUUAAUAAUAAUGAAUACAUUUAUUGGCCAUGUAUUCACAUACAAGGAAUUUGCCUUGGUGCUCCACCCGCAAGGUUCUCAAGCUAUCUCCUGAUUUAUCGAUUAUCCCUUUCCCACCA